rnacentral:rRNA from 1 species
GAAGUUGGAUUCGCUAGUAAUCGCGCAUCAGCCAUGGCGCGGUGAAUACGUUCCCGGGCCUUGUACACACCGCCCGUCAAGCCAUGGGAGCCGGGGGCGCCUGAAGUCCGGGACCGCGAGGACCGGCCUAGGGCGAAACUGGUAACUGGGGCUAAGUCGUAACAAGGUAUC